GACGAACGCUGGCGGCGUGCUUAACACAUGCAAGUCGAACGGAAAGGCCCUGCUUGCAGGGUACUCGAGUGGCGAACGGGUGAGUAACACGUGGGUGAUCUGCCCUGCACUUCGGGAUAAGCCUGGGAAACUGGGUCUAAUACCGGAUAGGAGCCAUUUUUAGUGUGAUGGUUGGAAAGUUUUUUCGGUGUAGGAUGAGCUCGCGGCCUAUCAGCUUGUUGGUGGGGUAAUGGCCUACCAAGGCGGCGACGGGUAGCCGGCCUGAGAGGGUGGACGGCCACAGUGGGACUGAGAUACGGCCCAGACUCCUACGGGAGGCAGCAGUGGGGAAUAUUGCACAAUGGGCGCAAGCCUGAUGCAGCGACGCCGCGGGGGGGAGGACGGCCUUCGGGUUGUAAACGCCUUUCGCUAGGGACGAAGCUUUUUGUGACGGUACCUAGAUAAGAAGCACCGGCUAACUACGUG
rnacentral:rRNA from 1 species